UCAGAGUUUGAUCCUGGCUCAGGACGAACGCUGGCGGCGUGCUUAACACAUGCAAGUCGAACGGAAAGGUCUCUUCGGAGAUACUCGAGUGGCGAACGGGUGAGUAACACGUGGGUGAUCUGCCCUGCACUUCGGGAUAAGCCUGGGAAACUGGGUCUAAUACCGGAUAGGACCACGGGAUGCAUGUCUUGUGGUGGAAAGCUUUUUGCGGUGCAGGAUGA
rnacentral:rRNA from 1 species